rnacentral:rRNA from 1 species
UACGGGAGGCAGCAGGCGCGCAAAUUACCCAAUCCUGACACAGGGAGGUAGUGACAAUAAAUAACAAUACAGGGCUCUUUGAGUCUUGUAAUUGGAAUGAGUACAAUUUAAAUCCCUUAACGAGGAACAAUUGGAGGGCAAGUCUGGUG